CCUACGGGUGGCAGCAGUGGGGAAUAUUGGGCAAUGGGCGCAAGCCUGACCCAGCAACGCCGCGUGAAGGAAGAAGGCCCUCGGGUUGUAAACUUCUUUUAACAGGGACGAAGAAAGUGACGGUACCUGUUGAAUAAGCCACGGCUAACUACGUGCCAGCAGCCGCGGUAAUACAUAGGUGGCAAGCGUUGUCCAGAAUGACUGGGCGUAAAGGGAGCGUAGGCGGUCUGUUAAGUUGGAAGUGAAAUCCCGGGGCUCAACCCCGGAACUGCUUUCAAGACUGACGGACUUGAGUGUAAGAGGGGUAAGCGGAAUUCCUAGUGUAGCGGUGGAAUGCGUAGAUAUUAGGAGGAACACCAGUGGCGAAGGCGGCUUACUGGAUUAUAACUGACGCUGAGGCUCGAAAGCGUGGGUAGCAAACAGGAUUAGAUACCCGAGUAGUC
rnacentral:rRNA from 1 species